UGAAGGAUGCCUGAUAAAAAGGGAUAUUUUGAUAGAAUAUAUUAUACAGUAUUACUGUUCCUUCAA
rnacentral:tRNA from 1 species